rnacentral:misc_RNA from 1 species
AAAAGAAAAGAAGAAAAAAAAAGCUAAAAAGAAAAACCAAAAUAAGACAUCUGAUCACUACAAUUUCCAGUAAAUUUCUAAACCUCUAAAUUCAGUAGACUCACUUUAUUGAGGAUAACCUCAUCUGAUCCUACAAAUCAAAACAUGUGUGCAUGCAAAAUUACCUCACUAGAAUGGGGAUCCCUUUUUGUUUUGUUUGUUCCCCAUGCCCCCAUCCUGGUCCUAUCAGGGAGUUUUACUUUUUUCAUUCCCCCUCCAUUAAAUAACUAAAUGGAUGAUGUUAGGACCUAGCAAUGCUUGCCGGUGGUAAGCCCUUGUUACUAGUAUUUUUUUUUUCUAACAUUAAGUUUGCUGAGAUCCUUUGUCUUGUGAGAAUCAUGAACCUAAUGUAGUGGCAAGUAUAAUGAAAUGUGAUAAAAUCUUGUUCCUGCAGAUUGAAUUUCCUGGGUUUUCACUUUUCAGAUAGCCUCUUAAAUUAUAUGAAAUUGACCGUAGAAACCUUAUCAGUUCCUUGUCCUUGAGGUUUGGUGUAGCAUAGAAUUUCAUUCUUCCUGUUUGUUGUCAUACAUUGGUUUGGGAUAAGGAAUUUGUGCUAAGUAUAAGACUUGGACAAACUUCCUUCUCUUGAGCUAGUUUUUGGGGCGGAAUUAAGCCUGGUGCAUUUUCUCUGCAUUGUAUCAAAGCUUAUUUUGUUUCAAUGUUGGGUCACCCACAAAUGUUCAUACUUACAAAUUUUACAUUUCAGAUAUUUAUGCCUAAGUGUGAGGGGGUGUAUUAUGCCACAUUGGUUUGGGAAGAGGAAUUUGUGUUAAAUAUGAGACUUGGGCAAACCUCCUCCCCUUGAAUUAGCUUUUGGAGUGGAGUUAGGUCUGGUCCAUUUUCUCUACACUAUUCAAAAAUUAAGUACUUUAAUCUUUCAACUUUCGCAAAUAACACUGUUUUAUAUUUCAAUGUGACCACUUGGACUAAAUUAAAAAAAAAAAAAAA